rnacentral:rRNA from 1 species
AUAGGUCAAGUUACAAAGGGCGUAUGGUGGAUGCCUAGGCACUUAGAGCCGAAGAAGGACGCAGCGAGCGGCGAAACGCUCCGGGGAGUCGCAAGCAGACGUAGAUCCGGAGA